CCGGACGCACGGGUGAGUAACACGUAUGGAACCUGCCCUAUGCAGGGGGAUAAGCGGAAGAAAUUCCGUCUAAUACCGCAUAACACCUUUAGGAGACAUCUUCUUGGGGUCAAAGGAGGCGACUCCGGCAUAGGAUGGCCAUGCGUCGCAUUAGCUAGUCGGCGGGGUAACGGCCCACCGAGGCGACGAUGCGUAGGGGUUCUGAGAGGAAGGUCCCCCACACUGGUACUGAGACACGGACCAGACUCCUACGGGAGGCAGCAG
rnacentral:rRNA from 1 species